rnacentral:rRNA from 1 species
CGGGGUUUAGUGCCGCAGCUAACGCAUUAAGCACUCCGCCUGGGGAGUACGACCGCAAGGUUGAAACUCAAGGGAAUUGACGGGGGCCCGCACAAGCGGUGGAGCAUGUGGUUUAACUCGAAGCAACGCGAAGAACCUUACCAGGUCUUGACAUCCCUCUGACCGCUCUAGAGAUAGAGUUUUCCUUCGGGACAGAGGUGACAGGUGGUGCAUGGUUGUCGUCAGCUCGUGUCGUGAGAUGUUGGGUUAAGUCCCGCAACGAGCGCAACCCCUAUUGUUAGUUGCCAUCAUUCAGUUGGGCACUCUAGCGAGACUGCCGGUAAUAAACCGGAGGAAGGUGGGGAUGACGUCAAAUCAUCAUGCCCCUUAUGACCUGGGCUACACACGUGCUACAAUGGCUGGUACAACGAGUCGCAAGCCGGUGACGGCAAGCUAAUCUCUUAAAGCCAGUCUCAGUUCGGAUUGUAGGCUGCAACUCGCCUACAUGAAGUCGGAAUCGCUAGUAAUCGCGGAUCAGCACGCCGCGGUGAAUACGUUCCCGGGCCUUGUACACACC